rnacentral:misc_RNA from 1 species
GAUGAAGAACGCAGUGAAAUGCGAUACUUGGUGUGAAUUGCAGAAUCCCGUGAACCAUCGAGUCUUUGAACGCAAGUUGCGCCCGAAGCCAUCAGGUUGAGGGCACGUCUGCCUGGGCGUCACAUAUCGUUGCCCAAUGCCUAUUGCAGUGCAAUAGGAAUUUCUAGGGCGAAUGAUGGCUUCCCGUGAGCGUUGUUGCCUCGCGGUUGGUUGAAAAUCGAGUCCUUGAUAGGGUGUGCCAUGGUAGAUGGUGGUCGAGUUAGAACGAUACCGAUCAUGUGCAUGCUCCCCAAAAUAUGGCCUCUAUGACCCACACGCGUCUUUUGACGCUCAUGACGAGACCUCAGGUCAGGCGGGGCUACCCGCUGAAUUUAAGCAUAUCAAUAAGCGGAGGA